GGUUGUGGCUCAGCGGUAGAGCGCUUGCCUAGCAUGUGCGAGGCCCUGGGUUCAAUCCUCAGCACCA
rnacentral:tRNA from 1 species